GGAGGAGGGAAGGCCCAGGAGACAACAAUGAGCCUGUUCCUUGGGGAGUUUGUAACCCUACAGUGUGGGGAGGGAAGCAAGCUUGGAGUUGACGUCAAAAUAGAUGGCAUUUCAAAUCUUAUUAUAAGAAUGGGAGUUGGAUGUCCAUCUACAAAGGUUCCACUCCAUCCAGAGAUAACUAAUGGUGAUGCAAAAAGCAAGCUUCCAACAGUGUCACAAAUGGCGGAACCAGCAAAGGUCAUAUUAACUCAAAUCCAUUCUCUAUUAAAGGUGAGAACUCUUUUGCUAGAAGGCCAACAACGACUAAUGACUCUUUUCCAGAUAAUAGAGGAGAAGGGACGGGAAAAGAAGAGAUAGUCAACAUCUUUAGAUCCAUUCCAUUAUAGGCAGCAUGCAGGGGGAACCUGAAUGUGGCGGUAAAUAAGGAAAGACUGCGUAGGGAGGCAGUUAGAGAUAGCAUGCCAAGCAAUGAAACUAUGGCGAGGGAUAUGGUCUUUGAACCAAAAGACUUUGUGCUAGAGCAUAAAAGGGGCUUUGGAUCUAACAGAGUCCCAAGCCAAGGAAAAGCUAAACAAUCCGAAGGGGGAAGGAGUCCAAAGGAUUUUUUCUUUCUUCCUCUAUGACCAAGGGGAAGAGGAGGGAGGGAAGACUGGAUGUCAGCUAAAGAGGAGGGGACCAAACUUUAUUGUGGAUAAUGGAUGAGAUGGUGGCAUUCCUACCCAAAUUGCAGGAGUAGAUGAUACUGGGGCUAAUAACAGGGACGAGAACACUUGAAGGAUACCUAGGGUCAAGACAAAGGGAGGAAGAAAUGCUGUUGCCAAUGGAGUAGGAGAUGGCGCCGAUAGCUGUGGGUCUCAAGUUGAGGAUAAUUUGCUAGACCCAGAAGGCAGGCCUGGGGGAAAUGGUCCAAAGGGAGUCAUUUUUGAGGAGUAAGGAUAGACCCAAGCGACCCAAAUACUGUUGUGUAUGGACACAAUCUUCCAGAUAAGCUCAAGGAUGCCUGCAGAAUUAAUAUCUUUAAUGCGCCUUAGGCCAAGGCCACCUUCGGAUUUGGGUAGACAAACAGUACUCCAGCCGGUGGGGUGGAGGAAUUGGCUAGAGUUGGUUCCUUUCUAAAGGAAGGAACGAAGAAGCGACUGUAUUCUUUUAUUAGUUUCCUUUUGGAGGGAGUAGAUCCUCUAUCUAUUGUAAGGGCCUUAGAGCCCAACCCCACGAUUUGAAGUUGAUUGAGAAUCUGGUUUGUAAGGGUCGUAGAGCCCAACCCCACCUGUGUAGUUUACUGCUAAUUGACUGCCAUUCCAUUAUAUGCUUUGCCAGGCUAAAAUCAUAACUGCACAUAUUCCAUAGACAUUUCCAAGAUAAAAUCAUAUAACAAAUUUCCAUUCUAACCAUAUUCUUUAAUCUGUGAGGCAUUUGUACAUUCUGUAUCUAAAUCCCUGUGAAUAAAGAGAAAUAAAUGUCAAACAAGAGUUCAUGUAAGUGCAGUUAGGAGUAGGGAUUGUUAGAGAUAUAUGUGAUUUGUUUUUUUUUUUUGGUCUUUAUCCGUUUAGAUUUGUUAAUAUCAAGUAGGAGAUUGAGUCCAAUUUAGAGUCACGUUCUGUUUUACUUGGGUAAGGAUUAGGAUUCUUUUAAGCCUUCAAAUACAUGCUGUAACAAAGGAGGCAUUGGUUUUCUUAAUGAGAAGUUUGUUUUGAGUAGACACCUAUGGCUGCCAAGAGCUGCGCAUCCCUCUCUCAUUUCAGGUACAGUUGAUCCAUAUCCCUUUUCCUUAUUCUUUUCUGCUUUAUUUGUUUUCUGUUAUUAUUUCUCCUCCAGUACUACUUUGCUGUCAUCGUUAACUUUCAUUGCACAUAUUUCCUGGUUCUCUGUUGAAUGGUAUUAAGGCCGAGAAGGACUUUCUGACCUUUCAAUUCAAGUCGGUUUGCCAUAAGAUUUUGGUAGUUGGUUCGCCGCCUUAGGGCGACCCUAACCCAGGGUGAUUAUCUCCAGAACUACCGUCUGCUGUAAGAUUCAAACCAGCAAACAGACCUGAGUCUGCUGGUUUCUGUCAUACCCUGUUUCCAGAAUUUUGUUAUUUCUUUGCUUGUUAUAUUGAUUGCUUGCUGGUUGGAUUCAGUAAGUCAUCAAAGUAUUGAACUGUCCCUGAAAUUUUUAAUCUAUAGGGACCUCUUUGGUUGGAUUCAGUCACCCAAAUCUAUGCUGAAUCUACCAUAUCCAUGGUUUUGGCUAGAGGUAGAAGAAGAUAGAAUUUUAUAUUAGGGAGAGGGUUCCCUGAAAGGCAGUGUGGCCCCUAUCCCAGCGUGUGAGCUAAUGGGAGCAUGUGUGGAAGCAUCAACAGGGGUGGGAUUUCCGCCUUUCAUGAGGUCAGGGUGGUCAUUUCGUCCACCUCGAGGUAAUGCUGCCUUUCAGGUUUCUUUUUCCCUUUAUAUUAUUUACAAUUAGUCUCAUGCACUGAUUUACAUUGAUACCCUUCCUUUUAAGAUUUGUUUAUGCCUUAUCCCAUCUUCAUUUUAAUUUUCAGAAUUGUACUUUGCUCUUAACUUUAAUUCUUGUUACGUCCCUGUUUUUCUUAAUUCACCGAAAGGGAGUUCAGAUCUUCCAUUUAAUUACACAAUUUCCUUUCAACCCCAUUAAUUUGAAGUGUGUACCAUUCUUGUGGGCCCAUAACGACCCCGUAAUCAAGGUAUUUAACCCGGGAUCACAUCAACAUUUCUAUACAAGGAGCAUAUUAUUAAGUCAAGUUAAUACCUCACGUUAAAAGCAUAUGCAAACAGGUCAACUCUGCUCAAUUGUCUACCCAACACCCCUGAACUAGUUGAAAUUUUGGCUGCACUGGAGGCUAAUCCAGUGUGAAAUUGUUGGAAACUAGAAACCUGGAAAAACCUAGUGGUUAUAUUGGAUCUGCACAGUAAUUGCCACUCCUAAAUAAGAAGCAACAUGAAAAGGAGACAUGAACACUUUUCCUGAUUUUAACUCAUUUCUCCAGGGUGCUGUCUAAAAGAAAAGUUGUUUCCUACUUGUUUAAUUCGUUACUAUAAUAUAAAAUGUGCUGUAGAAAUUGGGGACAUUCUAUGGAUUUGUCUCUUUGGAAACAUAGUGUGGAGAAGAAAUUUUUGGUGAACUAUGCAAUUCUUUGUUCUGUCAGACCUAUGAAGGAUCAUAUCAGGAUUUAAACUAAAAACUAAGAUUUUCUCUUUUGGAUUUCAGUUAUAAUACCUAGAUUAACUAGUGUGUAUAAAGUUUGUAUUCCUUGCUGCAUCUUUCAUCUUUCCUUCUGUACUUUUUUGAGUUGUUUCUGCUAGGUCGACUGUUAUUGCACUCAUCCUAUCCUUUGUUUUUGCUCAGACGACUGUGUUACAGAGUGGUAUUUUCGAUCAUUUGAUAAACAUCUGGGAUUUUAAUACUGGACCUGUUCCAGGAACUUGUGACAUUCAUUUCUUAGUGGACUUCAAGUUCCAGUCACCACUUUAUCGUCAGGUAGCAUCCUUGUUCUUCAAGGAAGUGGUCUCUCGACUCGUUGAAUCAUUCACCGGCCAUUGCCGUUUGAUUUAUGGACCCGGGGUCCAAGUAUUUGAAAAUCCUUAUGGACAGAGAAUAUAAACAGGUAGUUUUAUUGAAUUGUACCUGACAAAGACCGAUGGAGCCUCAGGCACUGGGUUGCUCUUUUUUUUUCUUUUCUUUUAAAGACAGAUGGAAAUCAUAAAAUGCUCACAUGCAUCACUCAAGUGGCAGUCCAAUUACUGUGCUACGGACUUAUGGUCUGGGUCGGUAGAUUCAGCAUGCCCUAGGAUGCCCUUUGCUAAUGCAUAUUCUCUUUCAACUUGGCCACAGGCUUAUGAAUGUUGUUGGUUAGUGCAAUUUGAAGGUUAAGGUGCUUACCCUACACAAUAGGUAUUUUUCCUUUUUGUCCCAACACAAUUUGGUGUUGCAGCUCACUGAUGAUUUAUGCCCCCUACAGUGAUCAAUGUUUGUAUUUUUUUUUUUUGUGACUGAACAGUGAUCAAGAUCUUUCAUAAGUCAUAUAUUUAUCUGGAUUAUUACCA